AUCGGGGUUAGCAGUUUGCUGGUGUCACAGAGUGAAGGAGCUGAGGGCUGCCCCCUGCUGGUCACUGGUGGCCAGGAAACUGUUUACAUCUUCAGCUGCUAAUGAAACAGCUUCAGCUUUCCACCCAAAUAUGGUCACUUCUGGUUUCAAGAAGCCGACACAUCUGCAGCUGAGAUGCACUCCAGAAAUACAGCACUGAGGUCAGUGUGGCUAAAGACUGAAUAUUUUUUCUACCUGUUAAUACUGUAGGAAACUUCAGAAUGCUUCAUCCACUGCCGCAAAGAUCAUGAUAAACCUAAUAAAGAGGAAAUAAUCUGGAUUAUUUAGAGUAAAGUAGCUGAAUGACACACUGGGUUAUGCAUGAGUCACAUGCCGAGAAUCUGCGCUGGAUGCAGAUCUGGCUGAUGACGUCUCUGCCUGCAGCUGGGGCACAAAGGGGCCCUGCUGAGCGAAGAAGCUGUAAUUUCAGAGCCUGCAAAUACUUCACAGGAAAUGAUUGUGGUACUGCACACCCCCUCUCUGAUGACCUUUCACCCCGUUUGUUCGCCCACGGUUUGAUCGCUCUUCUCCUGCACAUUUCCUUCUCGGCGGCCCAAACACCUGUUUGCUGUUUCUCAGCUCGGCCAGACGAUAUCUCAUUCGGGAUCGUGGAGACGUCUGCCCCGGGGAGCUGAUGGAAGUGCAGCUUCUGCUCGCUCGUCUCUGCAGCACCUUACGUUGUUGUGCAACUGCAGUGAACCAGAGACAGUCAUUUAUAAGAUGUCUGGCUCGCUGCCUCUGGUCACAGAAGCCGCCGCCGCUGCUGCUGCUGCGUCCAGGACUGUGUGUUCUGGCCUGAGUGGAUGAAUUAGAGCUGCCAAGACCAAAAUAACUCAUUGAUUCACUGAGCUCUCCCUGGGUCUGAAGCAUUAACAUCACCCAGAAGCUAUUUCUCUCACUUGUUUGGAGCCGCAAGUCGUCCAGAGGUACCAUUAUCCAAGCCCGGCGAAGGCAAAACGACUAAACAAAGAAAGCUGUGGAAGCUAAAAGAGUUCUUACAUUUUUAAUUUCACGUAAUAGACUUUUUUUUUUAAAUAUAUGAAAAUGUAAUUACUUUUUUUUUUUUAUAUAACAAACACCAAUCUGCCAAGAGAUUAAAAGCACAGGUGAAGUGCAUAAUUCAUCUUGUGUUACAAUUCAAAGGUAUGCUACGGAAGAGGAUAAGGGCCACUGGAAAAAAAAAAUCUGAGAAAAAAAGUCAGAAUUCUGACUUUAAUCUUAGGAUUCUGACUUUUUUCUCAGAA